AGUGAACGCUGGCGGUAGGCCUAACACAUGCAAGUCGAACGGCAGCACAGUAAGAGCUUGCUCUUACGGGUGGCGAGUGGUGGACGGGUGAGGAAUACAUCGGAAUCUACUUUUUCGUGGGGGAUAACGUAGGGAAACUUACGCUAAUACCGCAUACGACCUACGGGUGAAAGCAGGGGAUCUUCGGACCUUGCGCGAUUGAAUGAGCCGAUGUCGGAUUAGCUAGUUGGCGGGGUAAAGGCCCACCAAGGCGACGAUCCGUAGCUGGUCUGAGAGGAUGAUCAGCCACACUGGAACUGAGACACGGUCCAGACUCCUACGGGAGGCAGCAGUGGGGAAUAUUGGACAAUGGGCGCAAGCCUGAUCCAGCCAUACCGCGUGGGUGAAGAAGGCCUUCGGGUUGUAAAGCCCUUUUGUUGGGAAAGAAAAGCAGCAGGUUAAUACCCCGCUGUUCGGACGGUACCCAAAGAAUAAGCACCGGCUAACUUCGU
rnacentral:rRNA from 1 species